AGAAGCUGGGCACAUGGGAAACGUCACCUGUCAAACAACUGCCUGGAAUGAGAUCUGCAACUGUUAGUUGGCUCUUGCCGUAAUUGAUGGACACUGCCAGUUGCUUAGACAGAUGGGAAUUAAUGCUGGUGUUCCCAUUAGAAGUUGCCAUCACAAUCGCGUUGGCGUUACUCUCCUGCGCAGAGUUGAUGUGUGUAAGCCGGUGUGUUUGGAAGGAGCAAGCACAGCUCAUACCUGCAGUCCUUCCUUCCAAUGUAUUGGAGCCGCCGAUCCAACGCAGAGCAGAUGAACUGCUUGCCAGCAGCUUACAGAACACUUCGCAAUGGUAAGGAAAAUGCUUCAUUCCUUGACGUUCAGAGGAGCGUGGUUCAGCGAGCUGGACUGUCAUCCCCGGAGGCAUCUGUGAGCUGUAUU